UGACUUUAUACAAAUGCGGUGGCUGAAACCUAGAAACUCGGAACUAAAUGUUGGCGUCUAAUGAAUGAGGAACCAACAGAAGAUGAGGAGUCAAGUAAGUACCUGGAGAUUUCAAGCUGGUGUUUCAUGCAUUGGGUGGAUCUACAUUUGUUCAUAUUAUUCAAACUUGGACUGGAUUUAUAAUUUAAGUCAUAUUUACACGUACAUAAGAAGAAACUAAAGUUCAGAUGAAAUUAGCAAAUUCAUAUAUGAAUUAAGAUGACUGUAAUAACCUUUUCAAGAUGUUUGGAGAGGUACAAUAUAU